rnacentral:rRNA from 1 species
UACGGAGGGGGCGAGCGUUAUUCGGAAUUAUUGGGCGUAAAGGGCGCGUAGGCGGCUUUGUAAGUCAAAGGUGAAAUCCCUCGGCUCAACUGAGGAACUGCCUUUGAAACUGCAAGCUUGAGGCCGGGAGGGGGUAGCGGAAUUCCCAAUGUAGCGGUGAAAUGCGUAGAUAUCGGGAGGAACACCAGUGGCGAAAGGCGGCUACCUGG